rnacentral:rRNA from 1 species
CGCUGUAAACGAUGUCGAUUUGGAGGUUGUGCCCUUGAGGCGUGGCUUCCGGAGCUAACGCGUUAAAUCGACCGCCUGGGGAGUACGGCCGCAAGGUUAAAACUCAAAUGAAUUGACGGGGGCCCGCACAAGCGGUGGAGCAUGUGGUUUAAUUCGUUGCAACGCGAAGAACCUUACCUACUCUUGACAUCCAGAGAGCUUUCCAGAGAUGGAUUGGUGCCUUCGGGAACUCUGAGACAGGUGCUGCAUGGCUGUCGUCAGCUCGUGUUGUGGAAUGUUGGGUUAAGUCCCGCAACGAGCGCAACCCUUAUCCUUUGUUGCCAGCGGUUCGGCCGGGAACUCAAAGGAGACUGCCAGUGAUAAACUGGAGGAAGGUGGGGAUGACGUCAAGUCAUCAUGGCCCUUACGAGUAGGGCUACACACGUGCUACAAUGGCAUAUACAAAGAGAAGCGACCUCGCGAGAGCAAGCGGACCUCAUAAAGUAUGUCGUAGUCCGGAUUGGAGUCUGCAACUCGACUCCAUGAAGUCGGAAUCGCUAGUAAUCGUAGAUCAGAAUGCUACGGUGAAUACGUUCCCGGGCCUUGUACACACCGCCCGUCACACCAUGGGAGUGGGUUGCAAAAGAAGUAGGUAGCUUAACCUACGGGAGGGCGCUUACCACUUUGUGAUUCAUGACUGGGGUGAAGUCGUAACAAGGUAACCGUAGGGGAACCU